ACAAUUCCAGCAAUAUGCAGUAGAUACAAAAGGCAAGAUCCGUCACAAUUUGUUAGUGCCCACACUUCACACUAGUGGGAAUAAGGAUGUCCAUGAAAUAUACAUGUAGCUCAAGGAUAAGAAGAUAUUUUACAGUCAUCUAUCCUAGACCUUGUACAUACUUUAAUUAUAAAUGCAGAUGAACAUCCGAACCAACAAAAGAAGCAACACUACAAGUUCUCUUCCUCCUAAAUCCCAAAUUUCCAAUGAGAAUCAUAGUCCCAACAACCACUUUUCUGAUCCUCCUUAUUUUGACACAUUAUAAUCGUAAUAUAUUAAAUUGACAAGAAAGAGAAAUCUCUCCUAUCUCCAAAAAUCAGAAAAAUUGUGAAGAAAAUCAAAGAAAAAGCAGCCAACUUGGCUGCCACAUCAUCUUGUGCUUCAGUAUGCUAUUAAUAAACAUAGUGAUCUUAACUAAGCUUUGUCUUUAAUUAGACAUCAGUUAUCAAAAAUAUUACCAUAUUAAAUAAAAGCUUU
rnacentral:lncRNA from 1 species